CUUUCUCUGCUCAGAGACACCCUGUGUUUAGCUUUCAUUUCGAUGGCUGCUGGGUGGUCCCUUUAGGCAGUGUGUCACCAGGAAAGAAGCAGGACAGAGGCCACUGAGAGCCUUCGCCUUCCCAUCCUGGAAGCCCUCCCGGGGGUCUCAGCCUGCACGUCUCUGCUGAGCUGUUUUAUUUUGCCAUCUCAAGCUACAAGGAAGGAGGGGGCCCAAACAUUUCAGCGGAGCAGGUUGCUACACUAGGUGACUCUGGCGUCCACGAGAAUACAGAUGCGGGGGCUGGACGGGGGUCGCGUGGUCAGCAGCUUCCCUUUCCACGAUUUCUCACUGGAGACCCCAAGCUUGGGUCACUCCCAUAUCACUCCAUGAUGACCGUCACCUGGGUAACCACCGUUUAUCUUGUUCCCUCCGUUUUAGAUCCGCGCCCUGGCGGCCUCUCCAGGAGCACGUUGAGGAUGGGCGUGUGGAGCCAGCCACUGACGGAGGAGAUGUCCAGGCGCGGCUGAUCUCACCCACAUCGAGUGAUUUGGAAACCGGAGCCUCGCCUUGGACUCCUUUCUCCAUGACUCAUAACUUUUGUUCAACCUGGAAGGAAUGCCAGCUUGGGAAGAUGGCAGAGCUUUGCUUCAGGGGGAAGCUUACUUUCUUGUCUCUAAGGCCAAGUAAAAAAUGUGAAACAUUUUCAUAUACCACAAAGGUAAUACAGCAGGCUGGAGUCACUCUAAUCAAAUUGGGGGCAAUUCCUUUGUAAAAUCCACCGAUGCCUUCUUUCCU
rnacentral:lncRNA from 1 species